UUGUCAAUGUGAAUGUGAUCCCUUGGUUUCAAUGUGGAUGUAGUGCAUUGUUUUUCAAUGAAUUAUGAAUGUGAUACAUUCUUUUUUAAUGAAUUAAGAAUAUCAUAUUAUUUAGGUUUUCUGUUGGUUAUGUAUCACAUUAGCACUUAAUGUGCUACUAAUGUAUGUGCAGUUAAUCAGUGGCAGUUGAAACUCUGAUUGUUUAGGUUAGCUAUUGAUUAUGUAUCACAUUAGCAGCUAAUGUAUUGC
rnacentral:lncRNA from 1 species